rnacentral:lncRNA from 1 species
AUCUCUUGAUGGAGAUCCCUGCUUACCUGAGGCCUUCCAAAGAUCAGAGGCAGCAGGCUCAAUGCAAUACCAACACCUGCAAAUGCUGGUGGAGACCCUCCAGCUGGGCCUUAUAGCAUGGUUGCACCUUCUAGACUACCUGUGGCAGCAGCAGUGGAUCACCUGGUUUGUUCUUAACACUCCUGUUAUCCCAUCCUCAACCAGCCAGUGAUUGACAGCAGUUAGACCUGCCUAGAGAAAGGAGACUGUCCUGCCUGCACCUCAAGCUGCACUCAUCUGCAGGAGCACAGCACUCAGGGAUGUAAGCUCUAUGCUUACCAGCGGGGUGGAAGAGACCAGAGCACAGCCUGGAUGUAGCUCUGGGAAGGGAAGUGGCUGGGCUCACAGGUCACAUGGGUGACAGUCCUUCUGGCUGCAACAUCAGCCAGAGCAAAACUGACAUAGCCCUGAGUCUCCUCAUUUCCAUGUGUAGGCUGAUGUGCAAAUGGGCUCUGGCAGGAAGAGCCCCCCGGGGGGUACUAUCACACCGAUGCCCAGAUGUGUUAUGAAGAUUGCUUUUGCAGCUUUCUCUCGAGCAUCUGAUAGCAGCCACUGUCAAGGUUGAGAUAAGGGCCUAAAGGGACGUUCAUUUGGCCUGCUGCAGCAUUUCCUGUAUUCAGUGGCCUUCUUUUCUCCCAUUCUUAUUGCAUAUAUAUAUUUUUAUCUCUUGGCUUCACGGCUCCCAUGUGUUCCCAAGCAGUGACUGUCUCUUUGUGUGUGUGCAGCUGGGCAGGGCUGAGCACACUGAUGCCAUUACUGCCAUACAAAUGGCAGUGCCCUGCCCUGUGCCCCUCCUUCUGACACAGCCCUCCCCAUCCCACAGCUGCCCCAUGCCAAACUCACCAGCCCCAUGCAGAUGAUGGCAGCUGUCCCACUGGUCCGUGCAGGACUGUGCGGACCUUUCUACAUCCUCCUGCUGCCUUGUGCCCUAUGUCUUCCAACACCUGCAGCUCCUUUUUACCCCCAUCUUCUUCUCAGAUUUAAUUCCCUGGCAGCACAGCUCCCCACACAAGGCCCAAGCUGUCUCUUCUUAUGUGCCAGGGCAGUGGCAUCACAUCCCCCAACACAGUCCUUGAUGGCUCCGGCCAAAUACUACUGCAACACUGCCUCGCCUUCCCCAGCUACUUGUGGUAACUCUGCAGGUCAAAAAAACAACAGAAAGGUGAGGUCCGAAAUUCUCCAGUGGAUUGCCAAAAUACCAUUGGCUGGAAAUUUACUCAGCGUGGUCUGAGGGUCACUCUGUGAGCUGAUUUCCCGUCUCUGCUGCCCUUCCAGUGAGAGUGCUUGGCCUCCUCAUUGUGGUUGCUCUUCCCGUAUCAGAUGUACAACACCCCCCUUCACCUGGCAGCAGCCCAUUCUCUAAGAGUUAUCAUUUAUUUUAAAGACAAGGCACUAAAUGGAUAAUGCCCUGCUUUGACAGUGGGCUCAGGACUUCAAUGUGCACUAUAAAGCAUUUGGCACACUCAAUAGCUGCCUGUCUGCUCAGCAGUGCCUCAGGGCCCCCUCAGCUCAGGGAUUCUCUGCCCUACCCCACCUCCUCCAGAGCUUUGGGGGUCAGGGUGGCUUAGCAGGGAGUGAGGAACGAAA